rnacentral:rRNA from 1 species
UACGUAGGGGGCGAGCGUUAAGCGGAAUUACUGGGCGUAAAGCGUGCGCAGGCGGUUUUGUAAGCCAGGGGGGAAAUCCCCGGGCUCAACCUGGGAAUGGCAUUUGGGACUGCAAGGCUAGAGUUUGGCAGAGGAGACUGGAAUUCCUGGUGUAGCAGUGAAAUGCGUAGAUAUCAGGAGGAAUACCGAUGGCGAAGGCAGGUCUCUGGGCUGAAACUGACGCUCAUGCACGAAAGCGUGGGGAGCAAACAGG